rnacentral:rRNA from 1 species
AGAGUUUGAUCAUGGCUCAGAAUCAACGCUGGCGGCGUGCCUAACACAUGCAAGUCGAACGAGAAAGUGGAGCAAUCCAUGAGUAAAGUGGCGUACGGGUGAGUAACACGUGACUAACCUACCCUUGAGUGGGGAAUAACUUCGGGAAACCGAGGCUAAUACCGCAUAAUACCUUCGGGUCAAAGGAGCAAUUCGCUUAAGGAGGGGGUCGCGGCUGAUUAGCUAGUUGGUAGGGUAAUGGCCUACCAAGGCAAUGAUCAGUAUCCGGCCUGGGAGGGCGCACGGACACACUGGAACUGAAACACGGUCCAGACUCCUACGGGAGGCAGCAGUGGGGAAUUUUGCACAAUGGGGGAAACCCUGAUGCAGCAACGCCGCGUGGAGGAUGAAGUCCCUUGGGAUGUAAACUCCUUUCGAUCGGGACGAUUAUGACGGUACCGGAAGAAGAAGCCCCGGCUAACUUCGUGCCAGCAGCCGCGGUAAUACGAGGGGGGCGAGCGUUGUUCGGAAUUAUUGGGCGUAAAGGGUGCGUAGGCGGUUUGGUAAGUCUUGUGUGAAAUCUACAGGCUCAACUUGUAGUCUGCACGAGAAACUGCCGGGCUUGAGUGUGGGAGAGGUGAGUGGAAUUCCUGGUGUAGCGGUGAAAUGCGUAGAUAUCAGGAGGAACACCUGUGGCGAAAGCGGCUCACUGGACCACAACUGACGCUGAUGCACGAAAGCUAGGGGAGCAAACAGGAUUAGAUACCCUGGUAGUCCUAGCCCUAAACCAUCGGAAC